UGAUUUUGCUAAUCCAAUUUUACGUAUUUCAAAAUUAAUAAUGUAAUUAGAAAAUAUUUGGAGAAUCAUGCACUUUCAGCUUAUGUGUAUUUUAAUGCCAAAAAUACCCUUCACCUUGCCAGCUAAGCGUUCCACAUCUGAAAAUUCAGAAGAGAAAAACCCUCCGAAAAGCCACAAAGCCAAUAUCUCUCUCAUAUACUGCUUUUCCCAUUCUCUCCCAUUCUCAAUCUCAGAAACCCAAAAUGCUGUAAAACCUAACCUCUUUCAUUUCUGUAACAUUCUCGUCUCCCAUUUUGUUGAUAAACAUCAACAGCCCAAAACCUAACGUUCCCAAAAAAAAAAGUUAUAAUGCUGCGGAGGAGAAGAAUUUAUCAGGUGGAUGUGUUGGUAAAUGAGAAACGAAUCAGAAGGAAGAGACACGGGACUACGGAGGAAACCGGGAAAGGUGAUAUCCUUUUUGUUCCCAAAUUACUUGAUCCAGAAACCCUAAUUUCUGAAACGAAGAUCAGAUCAGGGGAAAAUUGGUGAUCGGAAUCAAUGGUGGGUGCAUCGAGCUCAUGGUCUCGCGCACUGGUUCAGAUCUCACCUUACACCUUCUCCGCCAUUGUCGUGUCCGUCUUGGGUGUCGCUUGGGAAUUUAUAUAACUGGAAGUAGUUUAAUUGGUGUUGCCAUCAAAGCUCUUCGGAUUACUUCAAAAAAUCUGAUCAGGUGA